rnacentral:rRNA from 1 species
AUUGAACGCUGGCGGCAUGCUUUACACAUGCAAGUCGAACGGUAACAGGGUGCUUGCACCGCUGACGAGUGGCGAACGGGUGAGUAAUACAUCGGAAUGUACCCAGUCAUGGGGGAUAACGCUUCGAAAGGAGUGCUAAUACCGCAUACGCCCUGAGGGGGAAAGUGGGGGACCGCAAGGCCUCACGUGAUUGGAGCGGCCGAUGGCUGAUUAGCUAGUUGGUAGGGUAAAGGCCUACCAAGGCAACGAUCAGUAGCGGGUCUUAGAGGACGAUCCGCCACACUGGAACUGGGACACGGUCCAGACUCCUACGGGAGGCAGCAGUGGGGAAUCUUGGACAAUGGGCGAAAGCCUGAUCCAGCAAUGCCGCGUGCGUGAAGAAGGCUUUAUGGUUGUAAAGCACUUUAAGCGAGGAGGAGGCUCUUUUGGUUAAUACCCAAGAUGAGUGGACGUUACUCGCAGAAUAAGCACCGGCUAACUCUGUGCCAGCAGCCGCCGUAA